UACAGAGGGUGCAAGCGUUAAUCGGAUUUACUGGGCGUAAAGCGCGCGUAGGCGGCUAAUUAAGUCAACUGUGAAAUCCCCGAGCUUAACUUGGGAAUUGCAUUCGAUACUGGUUAGCUAGAGUGUGGGAGAGGAUGGUAGAAUUCCAGGUGUAGCGGUGAAAUGCGUAGAGAUCUGGAGGAAUACCGAUGGCGAAGGCAGCCAUCUGGCCUAACACUGACGCUGAGGUGCGAAAGCAUGGGGAGCAAACAGG
rnacentral:rRNA from 1 species